AAGAGAUAAGCUAAAAUGACAUAAAAGUGUCUGAUCAAUAGAAGAAGUCUCCAUACAAAGUGUCUAAAAAUAUACAAUCACAAAGUAAUGAGAAUAAGAAUUUUCCAAGUAAAUACAGUAAAACAUUGAGCACAAGAAUCAAUCAAGCAACACAUGCCUUAAAACGGAUAUUGUCUAAACAACAUAUGAACAAAAUAAAAGAAUAUAUCUUUAUCCUAGAGGACAACACUUCACUCCUG
rnacentral:lncRNA from 1 species